rnacentral:rRNA from 1 species
AUACGGAGGAUCCGAGCGUUAUCCGGAUUUAUUGGGCUUAAAGGGUGCGUAGGCGGCCUUUUAAGUCAGCGGUGAAAGUCUGUGGCUCAACCAUAGAAUUGCCGUUGAAACUGGGAGGCUUGAGUAUGUUUGAGGCAGGCGGAAUGCGUGGUGUAGCGGUGAAAUGCUUAGAUAUCACGCAGAACCCCGAUUGCGAAGGCAGCCUGCCAAGCCAUGACUGACGCUGAUGCACGAAAGCGUGGGGAUCAAACAGGAUUAGAUACCCUGGUAGUCCACGCAGUAAACGAUGAUCACUAGCUGUUUGCGAUACAGUGUAAGCGGCACAGCGAAAGCGUUAAGUGAUCCACCUGGGGAGUACGCCGGCAACGGUGAAACUCAAAUGAAUUGACGGGG